UCAGGCCUAACACAUGCAAGUCGAGCGGUAGCACAAGGGAGCUUGCUCCCUGGGUGACGAGCGGCGGACGGGUGAGUAAUGUCCGGGAAACUGCCUGAUGGAGGGGGAUAACUACUGGAAACGGUAGCUAAUACCGCAUAACGUCGCAAGACCAAAGAGGGGGACCUUCGGGCCUCUUGCCAUCAGAUGUGCCCAGAUGGGAUUAGCUAGUAGGUGGGGUAAUGGCUCACCUAGGCGACGAUCCCUAGCUGGUCUGAGAGGAUGACCAGCCACACUGGAACUGAGACACGGUCCAGACUCCUACGGGAGGCAGCAGUGGGGAAUAUUGCACAAUGGGCGCAAGCCUGAUGCAGCCAUGCCGCGUGUGUGAAGAAGGCCUUCGGGUUGUAAAGCACUUUCAGCGAGGAGGAAGGUGGUGAACUUAAUACGUUCAUCAAUUGACGUUACUCGCAGAAGAAGCACCGGCUAACUCCGUGCCAGCAGCCGCGGUAAUACGGAGGGUGCAAGCGUUAAUCGGAAUUACUGGGCGUAAAGCGCACGCAGGCGGUUUGUUAAGUCAGAUGUGAAAUCCCCGGGCUCAACCUGGGAACUGCAUUUGAAACUGGCAAGCUGGAGUCUCGUAGAGGGGGGUAGAAUUCCAGGUGUAGCGG
rnacentral:rRNA from 1 species